rnacentral:rRNA from 1 species
UACAGAGGGUGCGAGCGUUAAUCGGAAUUACUGGGCGUAAAGCGCGCGUAGGCGGCUUUUCAAGUCGAUUGUGAAAUCCCCGGGCUUAACCUGGGAACUGCAGUCGAGACUGUCUAGCUAGAGUAUGGGAGAGGGAAGUGGAAUUUCAGGUGUAGCGGUGAAAUGCGUAGAUAUCUGAAGGAACAUCAGUGGCGAAAGCGACUUCCUGGACCAAUACUGACGCUCAUGUGCGAAAGCGUGAGGAGCAAACAGG